CCCCCCUUCUCACGGCAUAUAUAAGGAAUAAAAUGAAAAUACAGACUUAUGCAGUUGAUGCCUGAUAAUGCCAAGACAUGGAAACAUGCAAACUACAGAGAACCCUCAGAGCUUUGGGUUGCUCAUGGCACCACCAGACUUCCUUGGCCACCUGCUGCAAAAACCGAAGAAGGUAAAAUGAUUGUUCGUUUCUGAUAACAAAGCAUACAGGCCAAAGUAUGGAAAGAAAUAGAGUCUCUUGCUUGUGGAGCUGGAUUUGGACAAAAGCUGGUUGACUCGAAGGGCCUUAUAAAGGCGUGACAGAUGGCUCUGAAGACAGACAUUUGAGAAUUACUACAUAUGGACUGCCUGGUAAUUUCAUUUCAUGGCUGAAAAUUAUUAAGUUUGUGAUUACACAUUUGAC